CGAACGCUGGCGGCGUGCCUAAUACAUGCAAGUAGAACGCACAGUUUAUACCGUAGCUUGCUACACCAUAGACUGUGAGUUGCGAACGGGUGAGUAACGCGUAGGUAACCUGCCUGGUAGCGGGGGAUAACUAUUGGAAACGAUAGCUAAUACCGCAUAAUAUUGAUUAUUGCCUGAUAAUUGAUUGAAAGAUGCUAUUGCAUCACUACCAGAUGGACCUGCGUUGUAUUAGCUAGUAGGGGAGGUAACGGCUCACCUAGGCGACGAUACAUAGCCGACCUGGAAGGGUGGUCGGCCAAACUGGGACUUAGACACGGCCCAGGCUCCUACGGGAGGCAGCAGUAGGGAAUCUUCGGCAAUGGACGAAAGUCUGACCGAGCAACGCCGCGUGAGUGAAGAAGGGUUUCGGAUCGGAAAGCUCUGUUGUAAGAGAAGAACGGGUGUGAGAGUGGAAAGUUCACACUGUGACGGUAUCUUACCAGAAAGGGACGGCUAACUACGUG
rnacentral:rRNA from 1 species